UACGUAGGGUGCAAGCGUUAAUCGGAAUUACUGGGCGUAAAGCGUGCGCAGGCGGUUGUGCAAGACAGGUGUGAAAUCCCCGGGCUUAACCUGGGAACUGCAUUUGUGACUGCAUGGCUAGAGUGUGUCAGAGGGGGGUAGAAUUCCACGUGUAGCAGUGAAAUGCGUAGAUAUGUGGAGGAAUACCGAUGGCGAAGGCAGCCCCCUGGGAUAACACUGACGCUCAUGCACGAAAGCGUGGGGAGCAAACAGG
rnacentral:rRNA from 1 species